rnacentral:tRNA from 1 species
UGGUGUAUAGCCAAAAUUUUGGAAAGGCAAUAACUUUUGAUGUUAUGAUUUAGAGGUUCGAAUCCUUUUACACCAG